rnacentral:rRNA from 1 species
UACGAAGGGGGCUAGCGUUGCUCGGAAUACUGGGCGUAAAGCGCACGCAGGCGGUCUCUUAAGUUUGGAGUGACAGUUGGUGGCUUAACUGCCAAAGUGCUUCGAAAACUGAGAGACUUGAGGGCUUCAGAGGGACACGGAAUUCCGGGUGGAGUGGUGAAAUGCGUAGAGAUCCGGAGGAACACCAAAGGCGAAGGCAGUGUCCUGGGGAGUACCUGACGCUCAGGUGCGAAAGCCAGGGGAGCGAACGGG